rnacentral:rRNA from 1 species
AUUGAACGCUGUCGGCAGUCCUAACACAUGCAAGUCGAACGCGUGGCGGACGGGUGAGUAAUGUCUGGGAAACUGCCUGAUGGAGGGGGAUAACUACUGGAAACGGUAGCUAAUACCGCAUACAAUCAGAUGUGCCCAGAUGGGACUGGCUUGUUGGCGGGGUAAAGGCAAACCCAGCCGACGACCCCUAGCUGGUCUGGGAGGAUGACCGGCCCAACUGGAACUGAGACACAGUCCAGACUCCUACGUGAGGCAGCAGUGGGAAAUAUUGGAAAAUGGGCGCAAGCCUGAUGCAGCCAGGCAGCGUGUAUGAAGAAGGCCUUCGGGUUGUACAGUACUUUCAGCGAGGAGGCGUUACCCGCAGAAGAAGCUCCGGCUAACUCCGUGCCAGCAGCCGCGGUAAUUC